rnacentral:rRNA from 1 species
GAUGAACGCUGGCGGCGUGCCUAAUACAUGCAAGUCGAGCGAACGGACGAGAAGCUUGCUUCUCUGAUGUUAGCGGCGGACGGGUGAGUAACACGUGGAUAACCUACCUAUAAGACUGGGAUAACUUCGGGAAACCGGAGCUAAUACCGGAUGAUAUUUUGAACCGCAUGGUUCAAAAGUGAAAGACGGUCUUGCUGUCACUUAUAGAUGGAUCCGCGCUGCAUUAGCGAGUUGGUAAGGUAACGGCUUACCAAGGCAACGAUGCAUAGCCGAGCUGAGAGGGUGAUCGGCCACACUGGAACUGAGACACGGUCCAGACUCCUACGGGAGGGAGCAGUAGGGAAUCUUCCGCAAUGGGCGAAAGCCUGACGGAGCAACGCCGCGUGAGUGAUGAAGGUCUUCGGAUCGUAAAACUCUGUUAUUAGGGAAGAACAUAUGUGUAAGUAACUGUGCACAUCUUGACGGUACCUAAUCAGAAAGCCACGGCUAACUACGUG